GCAAGUCGAGCGGACAGAAGGGAGCUUGCUCCCGGAUGUUAGCGGCGGACGGGUGAGUAACACGUGGGUAACCUGCCUGUAAGACUGGGAUAACUCCGGGAAACCGGAGCUAAUACCGGAUAGUUCCUUGAACCGCAUGGUUCAAGGAUGAAAGACGGUUUCGGCUGUCACUUACAGAUGGACCCGCGGCGCAUUAGCUAGUUGGUGAGGUAACGGCUCACCAAGGCGACGAUGCGUAGCCGACCUGAGAGGGUGAUCGGCCACACUGGGACUGAGACACGGCCCAGACUCCUACGGGAGGCAGCAGUAGGGAAUCUUCCGCAAUGGACGAAAGUCUGACGGAGCAACGCCGCGUGAGUGAUGAAGGUUUUCGGAUCGUAAAGCUCUGUUGUUAGGGAAGAACAAGUGCAAGAGUAACUGCUUGCACCUUGACGGUACCUAACCAGAAAGCCACGGCUAACUACGUGCCAGCAGCCGCGGUAAUACGUAGGUGGCAAGCGUUGUCCGGAAUUAUUGGGCGUAAAGGGCUCGCAGGCGGUUUCUUAAGUCUGAUGUGAAAGCCCCCGGCUCAACCGGGGAGGGUCAUUGGAAACUGGGAAACUUGAGUGCAGAAGAGGAGAGUGGAAUUCCACGUGUAGCGGUGAAAUGCGUAGAGAUGUGGAGGAACACCAGUGGCGAAGGCGACUCUCUGGUCUGUAACUGACGCUGAGGAGCGAAAGCGUGGGGAGCGAACAGGAUUAGAUAC
rnacentral:rRNA from 1 species